rnacentral:rRNA from 1 species
GACGAACGCUGGCGGCGUGCCUAAUACAUGCAAGUAGAACGCUGAAGGAGGAGCUUGCUCUUCUGGAUGAGUUGCGAACGGGUGAGUAACGCGUAGGUAACCUGCCUGGUAGCGGGGGAUAACUAUUGGAAACGAUAGCUAAUACCGCAUAAUAGUAGAUGUUGCAUGAUAUUUACUUAAAAGGUGCAAUUGCACCACUACCAGAUGGACCCGCGUUGUAUUAGCUAGUUGGUGGGGUAACGGCUCACCAAGGCGACGAUACAUAGCCGACCUGAGAGGGUGAUCGGCCACACUGGGACUGAGACACGGCCCAGACUCCUACGGGAGGCAGCAGUAGGGAAUCUUCGGCAAUGGACGAAAGUCUGACCGAGCAACGCCGCGUGAGUGAAGAAGGUUUUCGGAUCGUAAAGCUCUGUUGUAAGAGAAGAACGAGUGUGAGAGUGGAAAGUUCACACUGUGACGGUAUCUUACCAGAAAGGGACGGCUAACUACGUG